rfam:Mycobacterium interjectum strain DSM 44064 contig_18, whole genome shotgun sequence.
CGGAUAGCCCCGUGUUGUGGUCUGACCCCCCGACCCCGACGGCAAUACGGGGCAAUCCC